UCAGUUACUUGGAUAACUGCGGUAAUUCUGGAGCUAAUACAUGCGAAAAAAUCCCGAACUUACGUGAGGGAUGCUUUUAUUAGAUCAAAACCAAACAUUGGUGACUCUGAAUAACAUUUGCAGAUCGCAUGGCUUUACGCCGGCGACGUGUCCUUCUAAGGUGUGCCCUAUCAACUGUCGACUGUGGCAUAGACGCCCACAGUGGUUUUGACGGGUAACGGGGAAUCAGGGUUCGAUUCCGGAGAGGGAGCCUGAGAAACGGCUACCACUUCUAAGGAAGGCAGCAGGCACGCAAAUUACCCAAUGGUCGAAGACCGAGGUAGUGACGAAAAAUAACGAAGCCGGACUCAUCCGAGGCCCGGUUAUCGGAAUGAGUACACUUUAAAUCCUUUAACGAGGAACAAUUGGAGGGCAAGUCUGGUGCCAGCAGCCGCGGUAAUUCCAGCUCCAAUAGCGUAUAUUAAAGUUGUUGCGGUCAAAAAGCUCGUAGUUGGAUUUCGGUGAGCAAGGAGGGGUUCAUCGUUUGAUGUAACUGCUAUCUUGUCUCGCGAUUUUCGGCAGAGGUUUCAAUAGUGCCUUUUAUUGGGUGUUUUGAGAUACUGUCGGGUUUACUUUGAAAAAAUUAGAGUGCUCAAAGCAGGCUGUUAAAAGCUUGAAUAUUCGUGCAUGGAAUAAUAAAAUAGGAAGUCGUUUCUAUUUUGUUGGUUUUCGGAAAUCGACUUAAUGAUUAAUAGGGACAGUCGGGGGCAUUAGUAUUCAGACGACAGAGUGAAAUUCUUGGACCGUCUGAAGACUAACUACUGCGAAAGCAUUUGCCAAGAAUGUUUUCAUUAAUCAAGAACGAAAGUUAGAGGUUCGAAGGCGAUCAGAUACCGCCCUAGUUCUAACCAUAAACGAUGCUAACUAGCGAUCCGCAGUUGUUUAUUAUUACGACUCUGCGGGAAGCUUCCGAGAAAUCAAAGUUUUUGAGUUCCGGGGGAAGUAUGGUUGCAAAGCUGAAACUUAAAAGAAUUGACGGAAGGGCACCACCAGGAGUGGAGCCUGCGGCUUAAUUUGACUCAACACGGGAAAUCUCACCAGGCCCGGACACUGGAAGGAUUGACAGAUUGAGAGCUCUUUCUCGAUUCGGUGGGUGGUGGUGCAUGGCCGUUCUUAGUUGGUGGAGUGAUUUGUCUGGUUAAUUCCGAUAACGAACGAGACUCUGUCCUGCUAAAUAGUUUCAAUGUCAUUUUUUUUGCGUUGAAAAUUCUUCUUAGAGGGACUGGUAGCGUCUAGCUACACGAGAUUGAGCAAUAACAGGUCUGUGAUGCCCUUAGAUGUUCUGGGCUGCACGCGCGCUACACUGAAGGGAUCAGCGUGUUUUCCCUGACCCAGAGGUUCGGGCAACCCGUUGAACCCCCUUCGUGGUAGGGAUCGGGGCUUGCAAUUAUUCCCCGUGAACCAGGAAUUCCCAGUAAGCGUAAGUCAUAAGCUUACGUUGAUUACUCCCUGCCCUUU
rnacentral:rRNA from 1 species